rnacentral:misc_RNA from 1 species
AGAAAGACUUAGCGAAUGCAAAACAAGACUUUUGGCUACUUUGUCUGUCUGUCUUUCUCACAUGUACCAUGCAUGAUGGCAGCACCAAUUAUCAGGAGAAGGAUUAUUGAUAUUGGAGCAAAUCUAACUGAUCCUAUGUUUAGGGGUAUUUACAAUGGCACUAAAAAACAUGUUGAUGAUUUACAUGAAGUUUUGAGGAGAGCAGUUGCUAAUGGAGUUGAAAAAAUUUUUAUCACUGGUGGUAGUUUAGAAGACUGCAGAACAGCUCUUGAGAUUUCAAAAUCAUGUGAUAUGCUGUUUAGUACUGUAGGAUGUCAUCCAACUCGCUGUUUAGAAUUUGAAGCAUGUGGGGAUCCUGGGGGAUAUCUUCAGCAGUUAAAACUUCUUGCUUUGGAAAACAGACUUAAAGUUAUAGCUGUUGGAGAAUGUGGCCUAGAUUAUGAUCGUUUAGAAUUCUGUCCUAAAGAAACUCAGUUGAGGUAUUUUGAAUGCCAAUUUGAUAUUGCUGAAGCAACACGGCUUCCAAUGUUUCUCCACUGUCGGAAUGCAUGCAGUGAUCUUCUUUCCAUUUUAAGAAGAAAUAGAGAUCGUUUUACUACUGGUGUGGUACAUUCUUUUGAUGGGACAAAAGAAGAUGCAAAAGCAAUAAUUGAUUUAGGACUAUAUAUAGGUAUAAAUGGAUGCUCUUUGAAAACGAGAGAAAACUUAGAUGUUGUUGCAGAUAUUCCUGUCCAUAGGCUUAUGAUUGAAACAGAUUCACCAUGGUGUGAAAUACGCACAACGCAUGCAGGAGCCAAGUUAGUUAAAACUACAUUUCCAUGUAAAAAGAAGGAAAGAUUUGAAUUUGGUUUUCAAGUAAAAAGUCGGAAUGAACCUGCAAAUAUAGUGCGAGCAAGAUGCCUGGGAAGCAAAUUAUCAUCGACUGCUGAGAACCCUAAUAGAAGAAAACCUUGACACUGAAGCAAGAGGAGGUCUGAAGUCAGAGAUAGUCAUCUCAGGAACCUCACCCCUUCCAGCAAGCUCAGAACCCUGUAGUAUUCAGUGGGCGACAGACAUGAUUACAGCAUGCUGCAAUUUCUCUAAUACUAAUUGAUUCUUGUUUGCAUAUAAUUUCUUAACAUAAUGCCACAGGUCACAUAAAUUAUAAAAACGGCCAAAAAUGGCCGUUUUCAAUUUUCCGAUUGAGAUUGAACUAAAACUUUAGUGAAUAUGGAAUGUACGAAGGAAAGACGGCUUUGAGCCUACUAAACUUUCAAAAUCAAGUACUGGAAGUAAUGGCUGCCGUUAGAGGUGAUGAUAUUAAUGAACUUGCUGAGAGAUUGUAUGAAAACACCUGCAAUGUUUUCUUUUCUUCAAGAAAAUGACCUAUGUAGAAAUUAAUAAUAAUAUUGUUCCAA